UGAGUUUUCUGUUCUUGCAUGG
rnacentral:piRNA from 1 species